GUGCUUGCUUCGGCAGCACAUAUACUAAAACUGGAACGAAACAGGGAAGAUUAGCAUAACCCCUGCAACAAGGAUGACACACAAAUUCAUGAAGUGUUCCAUAUUUUU
ensembl:snRNA U6 U6 spliceosomal RNA